GACCGGGUGGAGGGAACGUGGGGGAAGUGAAACAUCUCAGUACCCACAGGAAGAGAAAACAAAAAGUGAUUCCGUUAGUAGUGGCGAGCGAACGCGGAUGGGGGCUAAAACCGUAUGUGUGUGAUACCCGGCAGGGGGUUGCAUGUGCGGUGUUGUGGGGCCCCCUCCUUGUCAUGUCUGCCGGCAUGGCGCAGUGAGGUGCGGGGGCAUAUAGACGAACAGUGUGGAUGCUGGACCUAGAGGGUGAGAGUCCCG
rnacentral:rRNA from 1 species